AGUAGCCGCGGUAAUACAGAGGGUGCGAGCGUUAAUCGGAUUUACUGGGCGUAAAGCGUGCGUAGGCGGCUUUUUAAGUCGGAUGUGAAAUCCCUGAGCUUAACUUAGGAAUUGCAUUCGAUACUGGGAAGCUAGAGUAUGGGAGAGGAUGGUAGAAUUCCAGGUGUAGCGGUGAAAUGCGUAGAGAUCUGGAGGAAUACCGAUGGCGAAGGCAGCCAUCUGGCCUAAUACUGACGCUGAGGUACGAAAGCAUGGGGAGCAAACAGGAUUAGAUACCCCUGUAGUCCCUGUCUCUUAUACC
rnacentral:rRNA from 1 species